rnacentral:lncRNA from 10 species
GCUAGGUUCCGGAACCUGACCUGAGCUGGGGCCUGUGCUUCCAGCGGGUGGUGGGGGGCCUGGUGUGCUGGCAUCAAGUAAGCCGACUACCUCGGCAAAGGCUUAGGGACAAGAGACCAGCAGCCUGAACUGGCUGGGGCAUCCGGAAGGCUUAGAUCUUGUGGCCAAGAGUUCAGACCGUGGCGAAGUGGAGAGUGACAUGCAGUUGGAUGGCGGUGACUGCGUGGUAUGGAAGAAAAUUCAGCUGAAAUUUGCUAGAAAAUGAGUUGUUUUGGAAAGAGACUGUAGAGAAAGGCAAAUGGAAGAAGAAAGCUUCUGUGCCCCCACAGAUACCGACUGAAAAGUGUUAGCAUGAGCAAAAGUUCCUAUCUAAUAUUAUAUGCUUUCCUUUGCUCCCAGCAUUCCACAAUCACGGGCUACUUCAAUUCUGCCUGCUGAGCUGAUUUAAUAAUCUGGAAGAGGAUUAUUCUCCCCCAUCUGGAAGAGGAUUAUUCUCUAUAAUCCCAGUUAGAGACACAAUGACAUAAACAUCGCUGU